rnacentral:rRNA from 1 species
AGAGUUUGAUCAUGGCUCAGAUUGAACGCUGGCGGCAUGCUUUACACAUGCAAGUCGAACGGCAGCGGGGGCUUCGGCCUGCCGGCGAGUGGCGAACGGGUGAGUAAUGCAUCGGAACGUACCCAGUCGUGGGGGAUAACUACGCGAAAGCGUAGCUAAUACCGCAUACGCCCUGAGGGGGAAAGCGGGGGACCUUCGGGCCUCGCGCGAUUGGAGCGGCUGAUGUCGGAUUAGCUAGUUGGUGGGGUAAAGGCCUACCAAGGCGACGAUCCGUAGCUGGUCUGAGAGGAUGAUCAGCCACACUGGGACUGAGACACGGCCCAGACUCCUACGGGAGGCAGCAGUGGGGAAUUUUGGACAAUGGGCGCAAGCCUGAUCCAGCCAUGCCGCGUGAGUGAAGAAGGCCUUCGGGUUGUAAAGCUCUUUCAGACGGAAAGAAAUCGGGCGCGUGAAUAGCGUGCCU